AAAUUCUUAAAUCUUAUUAAAUUUAAAUCUAAAUUUAAAUCAAAAAUAAAGCAAAUCCUUUCGUUUACCACGAAGGAUAAAAAACACAGUGGGUUUUAUUUGAGGCCUGCUACAAAUAAUUGUUAAAAAUUAAUGGCUAUUUUCAGGGGUUUUCUUCAUGAUUUUUGUGCAGAGGUGAAGUACAGACAAGCCCACAAGAUGCCCUGGUACACUUGUGUAUAGUGGUGACAGAAGUUAAAUUGCCAAGUUACUAGAAAUUAAUGUUUUUGGGUAACUACAGGGGACUUUAAUUGGAAACUAUGUUAAUCGUGGAGUAAUUCUCUUUACCUCGUCUGCAUUAGCUCCUGAAAACCAAGCAAUUAAUUUGUGUCAUCACUGUUGCUGCUGCUGCCUUCAAACACAAACCAAAUGAGCAUUAGUUACUCACACACCCAGCAGUGGCCUCUUUUCUUAAAGGACUUCCACAAAUCAUGGGCUGAUUACUCACCUGCCUGUUGGAACCAGGGUGGGAGAUGCAAAGUCUGAGCUUUUCAUCACCCAACAACCUUUUCUUUUAUUCUUUUCUGCCUUUUUCCUUAGAAGGAGCAUUUCUUUGUGUGCUUAUUGUAUCAAACACACAGCUUGACACAACCUCAGGACUCUCAAUAACUACCUGGGACAUCUAGCAAGGGUAUUGGCCUCAUUUUUCAAACUAAGGAGAGACCUCAGGGUUCAUUUUGCCUUGGCUCUACCUGAGCAGUGCCCAAACCCCCUCACACUUCCAGAGCUGACAGGGAGGGUGGUGGUGUCUGUCCUGGGAGCUCAGGUUGCCCUCGUGGUGUAGGGUGAAGGACCUUUCCACGUGUGACCUGGCUCUGCAGCUUCUCUGUGGGGAAAAACCUGCCACCACCUCCCUGUCCCGUUGGCUCUGCAGCCACUCCCAUCUCCAGCCAAACUCUUUAAAAAGAGAGACCCUGUGAACCCUCACCAAAGGCAGCAGCUCAUUCCUGAUGAUUUUCCAACACGGAGUCUGAGACUGGGCUGGAGGCUGGGGGAGAAGCCCAGUGCACUGCUCUGACUCCAUGGGGCACAAGGGGUGGCUCUUGGGAAAGGAGAGACUGAAAGGCUGGUUUUGCCCCAUGCUGACUCAUGAAAUGGAAAUUUCUAGAACGGCCAUUUAGGAGAGGGAUUUAUUUACUGAUGUUGGUGGAGACAGCUGACCUUGGAGAGAAACAGAGCCUGGUACCAGCAGAAGUGCUUAUUUCACAGAAUCACAGAGUGAGACUGGUUUGGGUUGGAAGGGACCUUAAAGCUCAUCUUGUUCCACCCCCUGCAGGGCAGGACCACCUUCCAUGAGACCAAGUGGCUCCAAGCCCCAUCCGGGGGGGGGGGGGUGUUGUGAUGCCCCUCUUUAAAGACUUAUUUUCCUUCUCUCCGGUUGCCUGUGCUUCAGCAAAGCUGGAAAACUGAGCCCACCCUGAUUUGUUACUGUCUUUUUAGUUUUUUUUUCUUUAAAUCACCCCUCCAAACCCAGAGCAGUUCAGUUGUGCCCAAUGCAGCCAGAGGACACAACAGGGUGUGUGGGAAGGCAUGGAAGGGAUCUCCUGUUCUCCUUUAAUUACAGUAGGAAAAUGGCCUCACUCCAGAGACCUGAUUUAUUUCCAGAGUUAUUGACAAUCUCUUAAAGGGAAUGAUGGGAUGAAAAGCGACCAUCAGUGAGUUAUGAAAGGUCAAUAAUGCCACAAAUGAGCACAAACAGCAGGUUUGAAAUCCAGCCCAUCCUGGGUUCUGUUUGUGCAACGAUUCCAUCCAAGGUGAGGGGUUGUUUGGAGGAGGCCGAAGUACCAGCUCUCCUUCUGCCACAGGAGCCUCCAAGAGGGCAAACGUGCCAGGUUACUUCGUGGCCCUUUAGCACCCUCAGCUGAUUCCUAUGGGAUGCAUUUCCCUAGGCCUGCGUGGGAGGCCAUGGAGCACAGUCGGGUACAACACUGAGCAGGAUUUCAGCCCAGCGCUCCUUACGAGAUCCCCGUGGCUGGAGCCUCUGGCAGCACCAAGGUGUUACAGCCUCCCAGCAGCUUGGUUAGGCUGUGCCAGCAUUAUAUAAAGGGAUCUUAAAAUGUUGAUGUCUUAUUUGCCUUGACAGAAACAUGAAAAGAGGCAUUUGAGGGAGUCAGGAUCAGGCCCUCAUGGUUUGGCCCUGUGAUUUGGUAUCUCCAUGAGAUGGUUCUGCUGCCUGAUUGGAUGAGCUGAGCUCUACAAACAGUUCCCUUCCCUGUUUGUAAGCAGUUCACGGGCAGCUGUAAUUGUUUGGAUCCACGGUGUGAAUAGUAAAAAGAGCUUUACUUAAUGACUGCAGGAGCCCCGCUCGAGUGAGAGCUCUCUGGUAUUUAUUCACACCAGAAUUCACGAGGCUUUUGUUUUCCAUGAACACUCCUGCAAAUAAAAACUUGCUCACUCUAAUGUUUAUGAAUAAAUGUGCUCGUAAAUGCCAUCAAAGCAAAUCAGCAGGGUUUUAUUUAUGCAAGAAGAUGCUCAAAUAAAUGUUUGCUGUUUUCACCCAGCUCUGGUGGGUGUUUAGGCUGUGUUACAGCCAGGGCUUUGUGAGCUCUGCUUAGCAUUCACACAUUAUUCUUACUUUCCAUCUCCUGCUUUCCUACACUCUGAUCCUCCUGGUGAAUCCCUGUGCCCCAAGGGAACAUUGUUAAAGUCAAUGUUUUAGGUAUUAUCCACAUCCAGCAUCUUGCUGGGUCAGUGGAUAAGGUCAUGCAGGGGAGUGGGAUCACUUGUAGGAUGCCCAGGAUUGAGAGGACAGGAGGCAAAGGGGAUUGCAAGUACAGCCUCUUGCUGUUUACACACAGCAGAUACCCAGACCAGCUUUUUCGGCACGUGCUGGCUCCUGCAGCAAGGUGGGGGUUCUGUCUUGCACAGAAGUGCAGGAGGUUUAUUGCCAUCCUGUCUCAAUCAGUGCCCUAAUUAAAUAUAGGAGAGGAUUUUCUUUCUAAAAUGUAAAUGUCAAGCCUUGUUAAAGAAAAUUAAAAUGCACUGAAAUGAAUGUGAUAGGAACUGUGGAGGUGCUUAAGUGAGAGCAUCUGUAUUUAUUAGGAAGGGAACUAAAAAAGGAAGUAUUUUUGGAUCAGAGUUCAAUCCUUAAACUGGGCCAUAAGGAUUUUAUGCAAAUUUCCCUUCAAAAUCUGCAAUUAGGAAUUGGUUCCAGAGGUGAAUUCUAUGUCCCAGCCUAUAAAAACUAUAAAGGAAUAUAAUCUGAGAUUCACCUCUUUCCUGCUCUUACCAAAAUCGUUUGGGAUUCUGUGCUGGCCAUGCUUUCCAUGAGUUGGACUUGAAGAUUCAGGUUGUUCCCUUCCAUUCCCUUGUUCCCUUGAACAGCAGCACAACAGUUCAGAACUUUAAAAACCUACAUUCACCAAUAUGAUCAUCCCCAUUUACAAAAAAACCUUUAUGAAGGCAUCUGACUGUUUCAACCACAGCAAGCCUGAAUCAGGAGAGUAAAUCAGAACUUGCAACAGUCAAAACCAAAGUCCUGGACAGGAAUUAGGAUGGGGAAUUCCAACAGAAAACUGAAUUGUUUCAAAGGCUUAUGGGGAAGAGCUUCAGCUGAUCACAGAGAUGCUUCAGCUCUGAAAUGUGAUCUCAACCUCACCAAGGCUGAAACUUCAGCUGCGUCUGUGCCUGCCCUGGAGCAGGUGAAAUGUGCCUUUGCAUGGCAGUGAGGGAACACAAAAUACAGCAUUUUUUAAAUCCAAGCUCAUGUCUUUGCAAAUAUAUCAAGUUUUUUGGCCUUCACAGUCCAACCAUCGGUUUGUUGUUUCCAUGCUAAUACAAAUUCUUGUGUUAAUAGGAGCAUGGCCUUGGGUUUCUCCAUCCGUAUGGGAAAAAGUUACUUGUCUGAUGGUAAACAAAGAACAGAAGAAUCGAUUCACUGUCCUCACUUUUAAAAAGAUGGUAUGAAGCCAUAGUGAAGCAAUUUUAAUUGUGCCUGUGUAACACUUGGGAUCAGUAAGAUCAUUUGUGUUCUGUUUUUAGGGAUCAGGGUGCUCCGGAGCACACACGGCAUUAGAAAUGCAAAACAUGACCGCAUGUUCUCAGGGCUCUGUCAGAGGCACAUGAAAGAGCACUUGUGCUGGGAUGCUCAGCUCUGAGGGUAUUCUCUGUUCAGUGUGUAUUUACAGAGAUGUAUGAAUAUUUGAUUAAUGAGUCAUGGUCUCUGGAGAAAUUUAAUAACUGUGCUGCUGUACAAAGCCAGCUCCUUCACUGUUAACACAGCUGCCAAUAGUGUCACUGACACUGGAGCCCUUUCUGCAUCUAAUGUAUGCUGGGGAGUAAAUUCCUUCGUUGCAAGAGAAUCCAUGGGACACAUUAUUCAGUUAUCUGUUUUGAACUGUUGCAGGCUCAAUUUACAGCCCCUGAUUUGUAAAGAUUUUUCCAAUGGAAACAAGCAGUGACACGUGAGCCAUAAAGCAGCAGUUUCAUGAGGCUGUGUUGUUCCAGAAGUUAGUGGGAAGGUCAGUUCAAAAGGAGAGUUGCUUUGAAAAUUCAGUUUAUAAAAUGUAAAAGGAACAAUGGAUGAAAAUAUUCAUGGAUAGCAGAGUGCUCCAGCAAAUUCUUGCUGCCUUAAAAACUGUGUUCAAUGGGAUUUCUCCCAUUGUGAGGAGAGGUUGUUCAGGGGUACACGACUCACGGGAUGGGGCAGAAGUUUUCUCUCUCUGUGACACCAGACCAGAAGCGAUCUUCAUUGUUGCCGAGCAGUUUCCCAAAAAUCAGUUGCUGCUAAUUUUAUAAUUUCUCCAUUUUUAUCCCUAAUACCUCUGAAGAGAUCAAUUUUCACGUAGGAAGUUAGGGGUAUAUUUUAGUGGUGUUACUCCAGCUCAACUACCUUAAAUAAUAGGGGGGAAAGUGUCAAAAAAAGAUAAAUUUAGUGCAGAGGCUUUCACUAGAAGCUUUAACUGCAGGUGAGAAUUAUACAUGCUAUGCAGAAUUUCCUGCAACACUUCUCCUUUGGGCCACAAUGCAUUACAGCAGACGUAUAAUGAAGCUGCUAUAAAAUCCGUGGUAAUUAAGGGGGAUUUGACAGUAAUUGCAACAGUGAAUCAACUUAAUUAUUACCUGCUUCAAAGAGAGCUAACCUGAUGUUAUAAUCUAACCUUUCCUACUUCUAAAAUGAGAGAUUAAACAAGUAUAUGUAGCAUUUAAGAAUUAAAUCUGUUGAGAUAGAAUUAUAAUAAUAUACUUUUCAUAUACAUUUUAUAUCUAUGUGUGUGGGUGGGUACAAAGCAGCAAAAGGAGCAGCACCAUAAACUGACAAGCUGAGUGUGUGCAUUCAUAAAAUAAACAGAACUGAGGUGAGCCAGCUCCUCUGCUGUUUGCUGAAAGCAGGGCGACCUGGAGACAGAAUGGUGCUAUAAAACCCUACGACACACACAAGCCCAGUUCCUUGAACAGCCUUGUAAGGGGAUGUGGUGGAUGUAUUGUCUUUCCAUGCCUAAUUUAAAGCAAACUUCUGAAACACAUUUAAGGUUGGCUGUAAAGCUGCAAAAGGGGGAAGGUGCUUGAGGGCUUUGCAGCCCUGCUCACACCCCCCUGCUGUGGCAGCCCCUGGGAUGUGCAGGAUGGGAGGGUCAGGUCACACAGCACAGAGGAGGUUCUCCUUUGUCCGAAACUGGUUUGCUGGUUUUCAGUGCCCUCGAGCUAAAAAGAAGCUUUUAUAAUGUCUUACAAUGGCUUUGAAGCUGGGACCUGGGCUACAGAGCUCCAUGGAUUAGAAUCAUGGAAUCUUUCAGGUUGGAAAGGCACUUCAAGACCAUCGAGUCCAACCAUUCCCCCAGCACUGCCAAGCCCACCCAUGUCCCCAGGUCCCCCGAGUGCUCAGGACUCGGUGCAGUUCCCACUCAUGGUGCUGCUGGGAGAGUUUUACAGUUCAAACGCUGCUGCCUCUCUUACAGAGUGAUGUCCAAACCUCCAGGUGUUUCCUCUACCCUGCCUUCAGACAAUCAUCAUAAUCAUCAGCCAGAAACAGCCCAACAUAACAUGGCUCUGAUCAAUCCUGGCCUGAGCAAUCCAGCUCUUUCACCUCCUGCAGCAGGUUUAGGAACCCAUUCACUCAGGGUCUACUGACUGAGCCCAUAAAUCCAGUCAUCCCUGUGGCCUUUGAUUUCAGAGUUUUUGGGAUGUGUUACCUCAGGGCAGGGGAUUGUCAGAAGAUCACUGAUCCAAACCCUUCUCCAAACUCUUCCCCAGAGUUGUACCUGGCUGGUACAUACUGUGCUGUACCUGUAAAGCAGGUGGAAGGUAAGAGGUGCAAUAAUAAAGCGUUAGCUUAGAAAUUCCCACUUGGAAUGUGCCUAAUGUGGGACAGACUACAGUAAACCCAGGGUUGUCUGUUAUUCCUUGUCCCUUUUCCUGGAAGCUGCUUGAGGUUCUGGGUUUCCAGGGCUGUGUCCUGGUGCCAGCAGUGGCUCUGCUCGUGUGUAAGGAGAGGGAAUGGCAGACUUUAAAUAACAAAUUUUCACUGAUGCCUUUUGCUAUUUUUACAACACAUUUUAAAAUAAAUGAGAGAUUAACACAGAAAAAAAGUCCUUCAGGUGCAUGCUCAGGAACUAUUUUUUCAUAAGGUUUUAAUGGAUUCAGGGUUGAGCUCCACUAAAAUCUGGAUUUAUUAGAAACGCUCUGUGCAUUUCAAUGGAGUUUUUCUCAUGAAUCUGGACAUUUUACAUUAUUUCAAUAGAGCUGACCCUCUGUUUCAUUAGAAAUGCUCCAAUAUAACCCAUGGAGCAUUUCUAAUGAUUCUGGUUUUACAGCAAAUCCAAGGGUCAGCUGUACUGCAAACAAUGGUGCUAACCUCUAGGUUUAUUAGAAAAAUGCUUUCUGUCUCAAUGGAGCAUUUCUAAUAAAUCAGAUAAAUAGGGAUCUCCCACAAAAAUGUUCCACUGGUGAAAUAGACAAAUGAGGGUCAUUGUUAUUGAGAUUUUUUAAAAAACGAAGAUUGUUUAAUAGACUUUUUUGUUGCUCUUUGCGGUGUGAUCCCCUCCUAUCCAGAGGUUAGGUCUUUACCGUGAAGAACUUAAUAAAUAUUCCACAUAAUUCCAUCAGAAACAAGCACUGCUGCCUCAAACUGCCAAGCAUUUUUCACCUCACCCAUGAAGACACUACAACAAGGCCAACUUCCAUGAUGGAUCUGUGGUUGCCAGGUUGGUAUUCAGGGGCUUGGUGCUGUGCCAGGAGUUGGGAUGGGUCCUUUCAUGCUCUGCAGAAAUGGGGAGAGAGCGUGAAUGUCACAACAGCUCAGCACUGGGGGUCACCAUUGACCCACUACAGGUGCACGUGACAUUGAACUGCAGCAGAUGACAGGGAGAAUUUUUCAGACCUUUAAGUUUGCUUUUUGUCCAAAUUUCUUCUAAUUUCAACAGAAAAAAGUUUGUCAUUAAAUGCGUGGGCCACAGGAAAAGAUAAAAAAUUACCUCACACAGACGAUCUCAACAGGCCUCUCUCCACAUCAGGUCAUGGACAAGUUACAACUUGUGGGAUGAAGCUGCAGAGACCCAUCACCAUCCCUCUGGAUCUCCUCCUGGUGUACGGUUGGAUGAUUUUACUCAGCAGCGAAACCAGAGAAAUCCACAAUGGAAUCAAACAAAAGGAAUUUUACCUACAGGGGUGCUGGAUGUCUGCCUUCUGCCUGGUGCUGGAAUAUGGGAUUGUGGCAGUGUGGAAAGAUGCUGAACUGUCCUUCAUGAGGAUCAGAGAGUGUGAGCACCACUGAUUUCCCCGUUCCCUGGCUUCUCCCUACACGAGUUCCUGCUGCAGCACCAGUGUCCUCUAAAUGAUAAACAAGUUCUGUAGCAAAAAACUGCAGGUCAGGGCGGGAGCCUGCUCGAUCAGGGGGAUUAUAGCAGAACCAGCAAUGGGACUUCAAGGCUUUUCCUACCCCAGGGGCACUGGAAAUAUCAGCACCAGGCCCACUCCCCCUCCCCACUCAGAUGAGCCUCAGCAGUUCAUCAUGUCAAGUCUUGCUGCUGAGUGCUGUGUCUGGGGCCUCUGGCUGUCAGAGGCAGGAUUUCAUCCCGGGCUCCCUGAGGCCAUAUAGAAAGCCUAAAAUGUUCAUUUAUGUUGCUUAUUGUCUGGCCAAACCUGUGUGUGCUUAAAAAAUAUCUGGAAGUUUGAAGGCUGAUCCCUGAUUGUCGUGGUUUAGAAAUUUAGUUGUUAUUUUAAAAAGUUAAAUAUGUUUAUUGUUAUGAAUGGCAAUGCUUUUGUCAACUCUUAGUGCUCCUACAUAAAGUGUUUAUAUGUGAGAUGUUUCCUUCUGUGAUGUGACUUCCUGAGCUCAGUCUCUCUCAUUAUAUUUUUGCUAAAAAGAUAAUAUCACUAUACAAGUCUAAUUCAGAGAUAUCUGUAAACAUGUUAUACGGAGAGCACAAAUAUUUAUGGAUGUGGGAAUUUGUACCUUGGCUUGUCAGAAUUUCUGUGUUUGUGCACAUAUAUUUCCAUGUUUGUGCACAUACACUUCCAUGUUUAUACCCAUAUAUACUGUAGAACAGUAUUCCCAUAAUAAUCAGUGUGGGCAUAAGUGUUUAUAACAUAUAGAUUUAUUUGCUUUAUAUAUUCAAUGUACCUGCAUAGCCAGAACUUCAUCUGCUGCUCAGAAUUUAUUCCAGCUUUCCACACGAGCUCUUUCAAACAAUGCUAAUUGCUUCAGAACCAAGAUCACUGAUGAUAACUCUUUUAGGAAUUGUCAUGUUGUCUAUAAAUAUUUAGCUGGAUUGUAUUUGCCAAUGUACCCCUGUAUUACAGAUGAAAAGGCAGCAUCUGCCGAAAUUAAAAGUGGCCGCGUUUUCGCUGUGGCUUAAUUAAAUGCCAAAAUUUAUCUACAUUAACAACAAAGUGGCGAAAUUUAUUGAUCAAUUCACAUGAUAUAAGUUGACAAAUGGCCCGAGCAAUUUCCAUAAUUUUCUACACGUGUUAAAAUUUGUAAUGAAACAGGAAUACUUUAUCAGCAGGAGCUGUGGGUGGGAGGGGGCCGGGCUGUGCCCCGGGGCGCUGAGCUGAGCUCGCUGUCCAGCCCAGGCUCUGGGAGCCCUGUACAGAUGGGCCUUUGACAGUCCUACAGCUGUUCUCCUAAUUGUCCAUUAAGUGUUCUAUUGAUUCUCUGAUUCAAAGUACAUGUCUUUCAGCCCAGGCUAUCGUGUGAAGUGGCAGACACAUUCCUCCUAGAAUGACAGAGCUGCUUGAAACCUAAAAAUGUGGGCUGCCAGUUCCAAUUGAGGAGCCCGCUUUCAAAGGGAAGGCUUGGUUAAAGGAGCUUUGUGAGAGCGCCUUAGAUUUGAGUUUCUAAACUUUUAGCAUCAAUCAAUUAAAGCAGCAGCAGCAGCAGGAAAAGUUGUAAUUCCUCGUUAAGGGUUUGCACAUGGCUGGUAAAGCUCUGCCUAAGGAUCCCUGCUUGCGAUAAUAAGAAUUAGAUCUUGUUUAGCUGCAUGUAGAUUUUAUCCUCAGCCCUCUCUGACAUAUGCAAUGAUAUUCUCAUUUGACUUGCAAGUUCACUUUUAGCAUUUUUUUAAGGGAAAAUCAUCUGCAAUUCCAGCUCAUGCCAGUCAGGAGCCUGUUUAAAAUCAUCUGCCUUUAAUCUGAAGAGUGAAGGAUAAGAUGCAUAUCUGUUGCAAGGACCAUAAAUCUUCAAAGAAACAAAUAGCCACAGAUAAAACUGUAAAAGUUAUUUAGUUCUCUUCUGAAAGAGGUUUAUUAAUCUAAAAUUUCCAGUCCAUUGUGUCAUGAUUUGGUUAUCUCACUGUAUUUCAUUUCCUGCAAUUGUAUAAGCCUUGUGUAUCAAGCAAAGAGAUGAGAGUCUCAGAGCUUAAACUUGAUCACUUGUGUUCAGAUCUAUCACUAGAGCCAGGGGAAAAAAGAAGAAAUAUAAAAAGUAGCCACCUGAACUACCUGAGAGAUUUGGACUGUGAAGAUUUUUAUUCCCAUUUCCUCAUAUUUUAAUGAGAUGUGUAUGAAGUGGUUUUAUUAUUAAAUUUAAACCGAAUUUUAAA